AGUUAAUGAACUUGUUAUAAGUAUAUGUUUUGAAAACAUAAUAAAGAAAUUAAUUUUUCUAUUAACUU
rnacentral:tRNA from 1 species